AAAGAGUGCAGUUUUGCAAAACGUUUGACCGUUCGUCUUAUUUGAAAAUUUUUUAUGAUUAGUAUUUUUAUUGUUAUUAGAUGAUAAAACAUGAAUAGUACUUUAUGUGUAACUAUUUUUUUAAUUUUUUUAUAAAUUUUUAAAUAAGAUGGAUGAUCAAACGUUGGACACGGAUAUUCACGGCCACACUUAAA
rfam:Oryza punctata chromosome 1, whole genome shotgun sequence.